AUUCUACUCCCUCCGUUGCACAAUACUACAUGCCUUCUAUUUGUCAAAAUAUAUAUGUAUCUAGACAUGUUUUAUUAUAUAGGUACAUCCAUUUUUGGACAAAUGGAAGUCAAGUAUUUUGGAACGGAGGGAGUACACA
rfam:Triticum urartu cultivar G1812 contig1120532, whole genome shotgun sequence.